CCUACGGGAGGCAGCAGUGGGGAAUAUUGGGCAAUGGGCGCAAGCCUGACCCAGCAACGCCGCGUGAAGGAAGAAGGCUUUCGGGUUGUAAACUUCUUUUGUCAGGGACGAAGCCAGUGACGGUACCUGACGAAUAAGCCACGGCUAACUACGUGCCAGCAGCCGCGGUAAUACGUAGGUGGCACGCGUUAUCCGGAUUUACUGGGUGUAAAGGGCGUGUAGGCGGGACGGCAAGUAGGAUGUGAAAACCACGGGCUCAACCUGUGGCCUGCAUUUGAAACUGGAGUUCUUGAGUACUGGAGAGGCAGACGGAAUUCCUAGUGUAGCGGUGAAAUGCGUAGAUAUUAGGAGGAACACCAGUGGCGAAGGCGGUCUGCUGGACAGCAACUGACGCUGAGGCGCGAAAGCGUGGGGAGCAAACAGGAUUAGAUACCCGGGUAGUC
rnacentral:rRNA from 1 species